UACGUAGGUGGCGAGCGUUGUCCGGAUUUACUGGGCGUAAAGAGCGCGCAGGCGGUCGUUCAAGUCGAGUGUGAAAGCCCCCGGCUCAACUGGGGAGGGUCACGCGAUACUGAUCGACUCGAAGGCAGGAGAGGGAAGUGGAAUUCCCGGUGUAGUGGUGAAAUGCGUAGAUAUCGGGAGGAACACCAGUGGCGAAGGCGACUUCCUGGCCUGUUCUUGACGCUGAGGCGCGAAAGCUAGGGGAGCAAACGGG
rnacentral:rRNA from 1 species